rnacentral:misc_RNA from 1 species
GAUGAAGAACGCAGCGAACGUGCGAAACGUAAUGUGAAUUGCAGAAUUCAGUGAAUCAUCGAAUCUUUGAACGCAUCUUGCGCUCCAUGGUAUUCCGAGGAGCAUGCCUGUUUGAGUGUCGUGAAUACUCUCAACUUCAACCCUUUUUUCGGAAAGGGAGGAAGGUUGGACUUGGGUGUUUGUUGAAGUGCGAGCUUCGACUCAUCCUAAAUGCAUUAGCGAUCUGCCUCGAUCACACACAAUGUGAUAAUUAAAACUAAAGCAUUGUUUAAUGAUCAAGUCGAGACUGCUUCUAACUGUCGCAAGACAAUAACGUGCAUACAUUUGUGCAUGUCAUUUGACCUCAAAUCAGGUAGGACUACCCGCUGAACUUAAGCAUAUCAAUAAGCGGAGGA